GACGAACGCUGGCGGCGUGCUUUACACAUGCAAGUCGAACGGUGAAGGUGGAGCUUGCUCCGCCGGAUCAGUGGCGAACGGGUGAGUAACACGUGGGCAACCUGCCCCUAACUUUGGGAUAACUACUCGAAAGAGUAGCUAAUACCGGAUAUGAAGUCUGUAGGCAUCUAUGGAUUUGGAAAGUUUUUCGGUUAGGGAUGGGCCCGCGGCCUAUCAGCUUGUUGGUGAGGUAGUGGCUCACCAAGGCGACGACGGGUAGCCGGCCUGAGAGGGCGACCGGCCACAGUGGGACUGAGACACGGCCCAGACUCCUACGGGAGGCAGCAGUGGGGAAUAUUGCGCAAUGGGCGAAAGCCUGACGCAGCAACGCCGCGUGCGGGAUGAAGGCCUUCGGGUUGUAAACCGCUUUCAGCAGGGAAGAAGCGAAAGUGACGGUACCUGCAGAAGAAGCACCGGCUAACUACGUGCCAGCCGCCGCAGUAAGAC
rnacentral:rRNA from 1 species